GUUUCUGUAGUGUAGUGGUUAUCACGUUUGCCUAACACGCGAAAGGUCCCCGGCUCGAAACUGGGCAGAAGCA
rfam:Oryzias latipes DNA, chromosome13, strain: Hd-rR.